CAGAACCUGAAAACAUAGAUGCUUACUGAUUUGAACCAAAACGUCAAAAUAUUCAGCAGUCCAAAAUCAUAUGACAGCCUUACAAAAAAAAUAUAAGACAAGAGCUAACGAUCAUCACUAAAUUAUGAAUCCAGACUUUAUACCUGUUGACAAACCAAUCAAAAAUAAAAGAGGGAUCCAAAGCUAUUCUUUACCACAUGCUAACCCUGGCACUAACAUAUAAUCUUUAACAAUGCUAACACUAGGUAAUUCCCAUAGCCAAUUAACCCUGCUCAAAUUGAGUGAACUAGCUAUAGAGUUUUAACAACCACCAUUAACAUGAUGCUCAAAUUACCAAUCCUUGAAUAUAAAAAAAAGUACAGAAAUCAACUACAUGACCCAAACAAAUGACCAGUUCAUGAAAUAGCAUUAGCCUAAGUCCCGACACCUAUGAAAUCCCUCCUGAAUCAUUGCUCAUUCACAAAUCUCACACUAACCAAGAGCUGAAAGGAAAUAAACUAAAGAUUUGACAUAGAAUUUAAGAAAAAGGAAGAAAACAUAUAUGGAAAGUACUGAAAGCCUUCAAUUCAUUCAUCCAAAUUCUCACUACAACUACAAUACAUCAAAAUGCUCUUAUACUUCAGCAGUUAUCAAAAUCCGAGAAAAGUACCUGAAAAGCCAAAAGUAAAGUGAGGUGAGAAUAUAAAAGUUCAGUGAAGCAAAGUAAACAAGGAAAGCAGCAACAACCAAUCAACAAACAGCUUCAGCUCAUGUUUAAAUCCAGAGAUUAGGUACUCAAUGAAAUUCUUUCAAAAUUCCUCCUCAAGAGAAGAAAAACCCAAAAAAAACAGCCAGCUACAUCUACUCAAUCAGCUUUCAUGUUUUGAAACCAGAAAAUGUCAGCGAUUCACUCUAGCUUUUGAGAAUCCAAGAGAUAUCAACAGAUUAGAUGCAUUAGCCCAGUAUUUUGAUGAUUUUUCUUCUAAUUUCAGGCUCUUAUCAGUAUGUAUAUUCUCAGUCGUUUGCUCAAUUUCUUAGUAUCUGAUCUCUGCUUAAUUCUACUUAAGGCCAGCUUUAUAUAGGUGGCUUUAAGGCAACAUAACAUAGUUUCAACAUUUAACAAAUACCCCUUCCCCAAUUUUUAGUAAUUCCCUUCAGACCCUUUUCUCUACACUAUUCAGUAGUUCACUCCAAAUCCCACCUUCCUAGAAGCUUCCUAAUUAGUUAUGCAAGAUUCCCCUUACCCAAUCUCCCUAAACUUUCCCUAAGAUGGCUACUAUUUACUCUGAGAAUUAAACCAACAGAAAUGAACACUUGGGCCAUACGGCCCACAAACCUGUUAUCCUUUUGGUUAUUUGCAAUGGGCUUACUGACUAGGAAACAAUCUGAGGGGGAAGCAAAUGAAUUAAUAUUUUGAAAGACAAAAAUUGCAACUAUAUUUUUUCAUGCCCUUUCUGAACCAUAACAGAAGAGUCAACUCGCUUAACUGACUUAAUUAAAUCUUCCUUUUUAUUCUUUCAAACAAAAAUUCCUUGAUCAACAAUACUAACCACGCUUCUAUUUAACUGGGAGCAUUACUUAGCAAAAAGAAAGGGACAAAUAGACGACUCGACUGAGAAAGGAACAAAACAAAAAUGAAAAUAGAAUAAAAGAAAAUUGAGAAGAAAAACUAGUCGCUGCUGGUCCAAACUCUGAUGAACGGGACUCUUGGUCAAUAAUGAAAAUUGCAACACAAGCACUAGCCGGAAAAUUUUCAAAUGGCUAGUGCUUUAUGUCAUAAUUUUUGUCAUUUGCCAAAAAGAAAAGAAAGGUGGACGAAACCUUCGACUCUUCAGGCAGCCGGCGAGGCACAACUCCAGCAACAUCCUCUUAUCGAGGGUUCGAUGUCAAACAUGGCCAUCUUUUGGGGAAAAUCAGAGAAAGGAGAGGAAAGAGAAAAAAGAAAUGGUACAAGGUUGGAUUCUCGGCAAACUUGGAUUUAAGAUUCGGACAGAUUGGGUAGUCUUUGGAUAAAACUAAUGGUGUAUUCGGAACGGGGAGACAACAGGGGUUAUAUGGUCAAGAUUUGGCGGAGUUUGGAUAUCCGCCGCCACCGGUGAAGAAUUCCGGUGGGUGGUGGGCGGCGGUGAAAAUAAAGAGGCGAAAGAGAAGAUGAAACAUGUGUCUUAGGUUACUCAAGUCUUU
rnacentral:lncRNA from 1 species